rnacentral:tRNA from 6 species
GCCACCGUAGCUCAGCACGGUAGAGCGGCGGGCUGUUAACCCGUAGGUCCCGGGUUCAAAUCCCGGCGGUGGCGCCA